GUGGGGAAUAUUGGGCAAUGGGCGAAAGCCUGACCCAGCCACGCCGCGUGAGUGAUGAAGGCCUUCGGGUUGUAAAGCUCUGUGGGGAGGGAAGAAAAAGCGGGAGAGUAACUGCUCUCGUGUUGACGGUACCUCCUUAGCAAGCACCGGCUAACUCUGUGCCAGCAGCCGCGGUAAUACAGAGGGUGCAAACGUUGCUCGGAAUUACUGGGCGUAAAGCGCGUGUAGGCUGACAUGCAAGUCGGGUGUGAAAUCCCAGGGCUCAACCUUGGAACUGCACUCGAAACUGCACGUCUUGAGUACUGGAGAGGGAAGCGGAAUUCCGGGUGUAGAGGUGACAUUCGUAGAUAUCCGGAGGAACACCAGUGGCGAAGGCGGCUUCCUGGACAGUAACUGACGCUGAGACGCGAAAGCGUGGGGAGCAAACAGGAUUAGAAACCCGGGUAGUCC
rnacentral:rRNA from 1 species